GUGUGUGUGUGUGUACAUGUGUGCAAUGUGUGUUGCUGGAGACUAAACUUGGGGCCUCAAGCAUUCAUGCCAGGCAAGUAUUCUACAUGUAACUACAGCCACAGCCAGGGAGAUCAGCUUCUUUUAUGAAUAAAGGCUUGAUAAAUAUAGUCACCUCUUGUAAGGAGGUAACACAUCUUCCUCAAAACAUGCUAAACUACAACUUAAGGUUUCUGUCCAACAGGUAGAAUUCUUUGUUUAUGCAGAAAAAAAUGGCUUGAAUAUUUACUUUCCAUACGUGCACUUCUGUGAUAAGGAAAGAAUCCAAGAAUCUCACUUUUAUCAUUGAAUACUGUUGCUCUGGGAAUGAGAAGAAACCUCCAAAACACAGCCCCUUUGAAAGCUGUCACUUCGGAACAUUCUCUCCCAUAAAAAUUACCCAAUAUUUCUAAAACCACCAGGCUAUCUACUACCUUAAAAGUUACUUAUCUAACCAAUACUGUAUUGAGGACACACUUUUAUGGGCAAACCCCAAACACAGAUGACAAAACCAGUAAGACAGAGAAGGCCUCUGAGUUCUUAAAAGCUAAAAGGUCCAAAAUUCAAGCUAUCACGAGGUUGCAUUCAAUAAUUAUCAAGAUUCUGCCUUUCUCAGGAAGCAAAAGGGAUAGUUAAGAGAGAAAAAUGACACUACUAGAGUACUAUGAAGCAAAUGACUUGAAGCAGAAGUG